AUUGAACGCUAGCGGCAUGCUUAACACAUGCAAGUCGAACGGCAGCACGGGUAGCUUGCUACCUGGUGGCGAGUGGCGGACGGGUGAGUAACGCGUAGGAAUCUACCUUAUAGUGGGGGACAACUCGGGGAAACUCGAGCUAAUACUGCAUAAUCUCUAAGGAGCAAAGCGGGGGAUCUUCGGACCUCGCGCUAUAAGAUGAGCCUGCGUCGGAUUAGCUAGUUGGUGGGGUAAAGGCCUACCAAGGCGACGAUCCGUAGCUGGUCUGAGAGGACGACCAGCCACACUGGGACUGAGACACGGCCCAGACUCCUACGGGAGGCAGCAGUGGGGAAUAUUGGACAAUGGGCGAAAGCCUGAUCCAGCAAUGCCGCGUGUGUGAAGAAGGCCUUCGGGUUGUAAAGCACUUUCAGUGGGGAAGAAAUGUUUAAAGUUAAUAACUUUAAGCUUUGACGUUACCCACAGAAGAAGCACUGGCUAACUCUGUGCCAGCAGCCGCCGUAACAC
rnacentral:rRNA from 1 species